UGGGGAAUCUUAGGCAAUGGGGGAAACCCUGACCUAGCCAUGCCGCGUGGAGGAAGACACCCCUACGGGGCGUAAACUCCUUUUCUGUCGGAAGAAAACCCUGUUCUGCAGGGCGUGACGGUACGGCAGGAAUAAGCACCGGCUAACUCCGUGCCAGCAGCCGCGGUAAUACGGAGGGUGCAAGCGUUGUCCGGAAUCACUGGGCGUAAAGGGUGUGCAGGUGGGACAGCAAGUCAGAGGUGAAAGCCCGCGGCUCAACCGUGGAAGUGCCUUUGAAACUGCUGUUCUUGAGUCCUGGAGAGGUUGCUGGAAUUCGUGGUGUAGCGGUGAAAUGCGUAGAUAUCACGAGGAACACCAGAGGCGAAAGCGAGCAACUGGACAGGUACUGACGCUGAGGCACGAGAGCGUGGGGAGCAAACA
rnacentral:rRNA from 1 species